rnacentral:rRNA from 1 species
UACGGAGGAUCCAAGCGUUAUCCGGAUUCAUUGGGUUUAAAGGGUGCGUAGGUGGCUUGUUAAGUCAGUGGUGAAAUCCCGCAGCUCAACUGCGGAACUGCCAUUGAUACUGAUGAGCUUGAGUGUAUUUGAAGUGGGCGGAAUAUGACAUGUAGCGGUGAAAUGCUUAGAUAUGUCAUAGAACACCAAUUGCGAAGGCAGCUCGCUAAACUACAACUGACACUGAGGCACGAAAGCGUGGGGAUCAAACAGG